AUCUUCACUGUGCUGGCAACGGCGAAUGCAUCUUCGGAACUAGACAAGGUCAAGAUUGCAUUCGACGUAUGCGGUUCGAAAAUGACAAUGUGUCUGACGCAGUCGGAACUCAGGAAAGCCUUGAGGUUAUCGUUACAUAUGCAAGCAGAGGAGUCCAACAGGAUUUUUCAGCAGGCCAGAAAGCCAAACGUUCACACAGUGAGCUUCGAGGACGUUCUGAUACAACUAUCAAACCGAACAGAGUAUGCGCACUUGCUCAACGCGAGUAACGAAGGUUCGAAGAAGGCCAUUUGAAAAUAUCUUUUAGAGCCCGAUGUUCCUCCUGAAGAUCGCGGCAGACCUUUUCACAAUCCCAUCUGCUCCAUUCCCGUAUGAGAAACGUAUUUAAAAUACUUCGAGGGGAAACUAUGUUGUCGUUUACAGAAGUUGCAAUCGCAGAUACGCGAUAAUUUAGACAAUUUUAGUGUCUUUCCUAUAAUCCUGUAAAUUAGAGAAAGUGAAUAAUUUAGCAAUAGGAACUUAAAAUUCUAAGAUUUAAGAAUUCUAAAUAAUGUAAAAGAUUUGAUAAUUUAGGAAUAUUUAUUUUAAAAAGUCCUAGAAUCCGAGGAUAUGAAAAUCCAAAGAUACACGACGUGAUCAUAGACUUCGAAGAUUGUAACGAUUCUAUUCUACGAUUUAGAGACCGAAGAUACUAAAACUUAAGAAUUAAAAGCCUAAGGAUCUGAGAAAACGACCAUCUUAUUAUAGUAUCGAUAUAUUUGAAAAUUAGGAUUUGAAUUCUCAAAAAUCUUAGAAUAAAAUAUUCGAGGAUCUUAUAGACUUUAUUUCCAGAAAUGAAAAUCUAAGAGUAUUAAAAUUCGAAGGGAGUAAAAUUUCAGCAGUCUUCUUGCUGUAUAGUACACAUUAGUUAAAUGAUCCGGUCACGAAAGCUUCUUCGUAGCUCGAAAAGUUAAAAGAUUUCGAGUACGUCCAUGAUAUAGGACGCGAAUGUGCAUUUAAGGCAAGGAAAGAGGAAGAGUAGAUAAUGGCA